CCGCGCUAGACGGGGAGCCAGCGGUGCCCUGCACCCGCAAUCCGCUAUAGCGGGGUUGAAUUCCUCCCCUAGGCGCCGCCAAUGGGCCUAUAUCCGAGGUUGGUGAUGUUGAGGGUUGGGUCCUGCGCGGCGUAGGCCUGUGAACCCCGCCAGAUCCGGAAGGAAGCAACGGUAAACAGGACCCUGCGGGUGCCGUGGGAGCGCCUGACCGGAGUCAUCGCCGAGGACACGCUCAGUGGUUGACGUCAAAGGGAGGUGCGCGG
rnacentral:SRP_RNA from 1 species